rnacentral:misc_RNA from 1 species
GAUGAAGAACGCAGUGAAAUGCGAUAAGUAAUGUGAAUUGCAGAAUUCCGUGAAUCAUCGAAUCUUUGAACGCACAUUGCGCCCCCUGGUAUUCCGGGGGGCAUGCCUGUCCGAGCGUCAUUGCAACCCUCAAGCGCGGCUUGUGUGUUGGGCUUCGUCCCCCCGUGGACGUGCCCGAAAGGCAGUGGCGGCGUCCCGAAUGGUGCCCGAGCGUAUGGGAACUCUCUUCCGCUCGAACCGGCCCAUUCGGCGCUGGUCGAACCCCAAUUUUUUUUUACCGGUUGACCUCGGAUCAGGUAGGGAUACCCGCUGAACUUAAGAAUAUCAAUAAGCGGAGGA